UAGGGAAUCUUCGGCAAUGGACGAAAGUCUGACCGAGCAACGCCGCGUGAGUGAAGAAGGUUUUCGGAUCGUAAAACUCUGUUGUUAGAGAAGAACAAGGACGUUAGUAACUGAACGUCCCCUGACGGUAUCUAACCAGAAAGCCACGGCUAACUACGUGCCAGCAGCCGCGGUAAUACGUAGGUGGCAAGCGUUGUCCGGAUUUAUUGGGCGUAAAGCGAGCGCAGGCGGUUUCUUAAGUCUGAUGUGAAAGCCCCCGGCUCAACCGGGGAGGGUCAUUGGAAACUGGGAGGCUUGAGUGCAGAAGAGGAGAGUGGAAUUCCAUGUGUAGCGGUGAAAUGCGUAGAUAUAUGGAGGAACACCAGUGGCGAAGGCGGCUCUAUGGUCUGUAACUGACGCUGAGGCUCGAAAGCGUGGGGAGCAAACAGG
rnacentral:rRNA from 1 species